CCAUGCUGAAGUAAAAUUUCAGAUCUCCAAUACAAAUUAUUUUUUAUUUUAGUAAAUAUAAAAGUGGUAUUAUUAUUAUUAUUGGGGAUUAUAUACGUGUCCUCCGACCUCCCUCUCUUCUCUCACCCAUCCGCAACGUUCGCCUCCUCUCAGUCUCACUUCUCAUUCUCAAACAGAAUUUUUUGUGUGUUACAGAAGCCAAUAAAACAAUGUCGUCGACGGAAAAAAAUUCCCGCCGAUAACAAAGUGCGGCGAGUCGACGACGACUUCGUACGGUUCUAUCGCAGCAGAUCUGGAUGGAACACUUUUGAUCUCCAGGAGCUCCGUCCCUUACUUCAUGCUCCUCGCCAUGAGUGGACCAUAAGUACCAUUGAACUUUGCUAAGGAACACCUUAAGAAUGAGGGUUCUGUCAUUCUUUUGAUUCCGAACAGAGGAUUUUGGUCUGUUAAAUUUGAAAUAAAGCACAAAAACUAUAGCAAAAGGAGAGCUUAAUUUAGUUGUGGUUGGAAAGUCUUUGCCAAGGACAAUUAUUUGAAAGUUGGUGAUGUCUGCGUUUUCGAGCUUCUUAAGAGAUCCGAAAAUGUAUUCAAGGUUUCCAUUGACUAUGCUGCUGAUUAUGCAUCCGACUAAAAUCUCAAGCUGAUGGAAUCAAAGCAAAGCCAAAAGGAGAAGUGGGAGAAGUUACUGAGUUGUUUUUUGAAUUAUGUCUGCAUAACUGAGAACUUGCUAUGCUUUAAAACUCAAAACUAAAUAUGGUGAAUGAAUCUAUGAGUCAUGCUGAGUGUGUUGAGUGUGUUGGGUUGGUCAUUAGUUAUUAUUGUCAUCGUCUGGCUCAUGAAGAGAAUAUGGUACCUGUGAAGGUUACUGGAGGCGGUGGAUACACAAAAGAGAACGUUGCACGAUGUUGGACUGUUGAAACUGGAGUUCUUCUAGACAGAGAGCUUCCAAAUGUGCAAUUGGAUUGAUUUUAAUGUUGCUCGUCCCUAACUUCAAGCGCCAGAAUUGGUUGAGGCCAACUCCAAUGGGACUGCAAAACACCAAUUUGAUGUUGAUCCUACACCAUAUAUCACUCCAAUGGGACUGCAAAAUAGUGUACAUGAACAGUGCCACAACAUUAUUGAUGUGAUACUGUUCACCACGACAAUUUUUAUUUUGGUUUUUGUGUUUUAUAUUAAUAUUGUAUAUAUAUGUAUAUUAUUUAAUUUGUAAGAUAAAAUAAUAUAAUGAUAUAAUGUGUAUUUUGUAGAGAAUAUAAUAAUGUUGAAUAUAUUUUUUGGUAUAAUAUUUAGUGUUAUGGUUG